rnacentral:rRNA from 3 species
GGACUACCGGGGUAUCUAAUCCCGUUUGCUCCCCUGGCUUUCGCGCCUCAGCGUCAGAAGAGGUCCAGCGGGUCGCUUUCGCCACCGGCGUUCCUUCCGAUAUCAACGCAUUUCACCGCUCCACCGGAAGUUCCACCCGCCCCUACCUCACUCGAGACUGCCAGUAUCCAAGGCUAUUUUCCGGUUGAGCCGAAAGAUUUCACCCCGGACUUGGCAGCCCGCCUACGCGCCCUUUAAGCCCAGUGAUUCCGAACAACGUUAGGACGGUUCGUCUUACCGCGGCUGCUGGCAC